rnacentral:tRNA from 1 species
GACCGCGUAGCUCAGUUGGAAGAGCAUUGGGCUAGUAUUCCAAAGGUGGUAGGUUCGAAUCCCGCCGUGGCCA